UGCCCAGCAACUCCUAUCCCUGCCUCCUCGCGGUACCGGCCGGAACCUAUGAGCAACCUUAGGGAACUUUGGUCGUAGGCUACCAGGGAAGG
rfam:Aedes albopictus isolate Foshan contig17222, whole genome shotgun sequence.